rnacentral:rRNA from 1 species
GCGUGGAUGAUGAAGGCCCUAGGGUUGUAAAAUCCUUUCGUUGGGGACGAUAAUGACGGUACCCAAAGAAGAAGCUCCGGCUAACUUCGUGCCAGCAGCCGCGGUAAUACGAAGGGGGCUAGCGUUGUUCGGAUUUACUGGGCGUAAAGCGCGUGUAGGCGGACUGUUAAGUUGGGGGUGAAAUCCCGAGGCUCAACCUCGGAACUGCCUUCAAAACUGGCGGUCUAGAGUGAAGGAGAGGCGAGUGGAAUUCCGAGUGUAGAGGUGAAAUUCGU